rnacentral:misc_RNA from 1 species
CAAUAAGAGUGUUUUAUGGCACUCUUCAAAAAAUCCAUACCCACCUUGUGUGCAACGUAAGAAGAAAAAAAAGAAGAUGCGAGUCAUGGGGAAACCCAAGUCUUGCUCCCUUUCUUUUUUUCUUUUCCACAUACACCUUUCUAUUAGUUCCUAUUGUCUGAAGCUGUUAGAGAAUGACUAAUUCUUAAACA